UACGAAGGGGACUAGCGUUGUUCGGAUUUACUGGGAGUAAAGCGCGCGUAGGCGGAUCGAUAAGUCAGGGGUGAAAUCCUGGAGCUCAACUCCAGAACUGCCUUUGAUACUGGCGAUCUCGAGUCCGGGAGAGGUGAGUGGAACUGCGAGUGUAGAGGUGAAAUUCGUAGAUAUUCGCAAGAACACCAGUGGCGAAGGCGGCUCACUGGCCCGGUACUGACGCUGAGGUGCGAAAGCGUGGGGAGCAAACAGG
rnacentral:rRNA from 1 species